rnacentral:rRNA from 13 species
GCAGCCGCGGUAAUUCCAGCUCCAAUAGCGUAUAUUAACAUUGUUGUCGUUAAAAAGCUCGUAGUCGAACUUCGGGUCCUGUAGGCCGGUCCGCCUUCUUGGUGUGUACUUGCUCUAUGGGACCUUACCUCCUGGUGAACGGCGAUGUCCUUUACUGGGUGUCGUCGCAAACCAGGACGUUUACUUUGAAAAAAUUAGAGUGUUCAAAGCAGGCCUUUGCCCGAAUACAUUAGCAUGGAAUAAUAGAAUAGGACGCGCGUUCCCAUUUUGUUGGUUUCUGAGAUCGCCGUAAUGAUUAAUAGGGAUAGUUGGGGGCAUUUGUAUUCCGACGUCAGAGGUGAAAUUCUUGGAUUGCCGGAAGACAAACUACUGCGAAAGCAUUUGCCAAGGAUGUUUUCAUUAAC